rnacentral:rRNA from 1 species
GCGGACGGCUCAUUAACACGUGGUUAACAUACCCUCAGGUGGGGGAUAACCUUGGGAAACUGAGGAUAAUACCCCAUAGAAAAAGCAGUCUGGAACGAUUCUUUUUCGAAAGCAUAUGCGCCUGAGGAUUGGACUGCGCUCGAUUAGGUAGUUGGUGGGGUAAUGGCCCACCAAGCCUACGAUCGGUACGGGCCUUGAGAGAGGAAGCCCGGAGAUGGGGACUGAGACACGGCCCCAGGCCCUACGGGGCGCAGCAGGCGCGAAACCUCCGCAAUGCACGAAAGUGCGACGGGGGGAUCCCAAGUGCUCAUGCACAGCAUGGGCUUUUAUCAAGUGUAAACAGCUUGAGGAAUAAGGGCUGGGCAAGUUCGGUGCCAGCAGCCGCGGUAACACCGACGGCCCGAGUGGUGGCCACUUUUAUUGGGCCUAAAGCGUCCGUAGCCGGUCCAGUAAGUCCUUGUUUAAAUCCUGCGGCUUAACCGCAGGACUGGCAGGGAUACUGCUGGACUUGGGACCGGGAGAGGACAAGGGUACUUCAGGGGUAGCGGUGAAAUGUGUUGAUCCUUGAAGGACCACCUAUGGCGAAGGCACUUGUCUGGA